GUGGCAGCUUGGAUGGAUUCACACGUAGGAACCAGGAUUUAGCCUCAUGGAUGGUUAGAUUCAUUACAAUGAAUGAUGCCUCCCAGAACCAAACUUCUAGGAACUCCCAUCUGGUCGGAGACUGGGAGCACUGACAAGCACCGUGGUGGGACUUUGUACCUGCAAGAGGGCUGGGAGGAAGCCUGACCUCUCUGUUACCCCCAGAAGAAAGUGAGGCUGGGCUGACACCUGCUGAGACAGCUGCAGCCGUCCACGCCUGGCAGCCCAGGAGGCUCCGGGAGAAAAAGGCUUCGUGCCAGCAUGCUCUGACCAUUAAGGAGACAGCUUUCCAUUAAUAUUUCUAUGCAGGUGAGUUAUUUCAGCAACUCCAAAAA